rnacentral:rRNA from 1 species
UACGAAGGGUGCAAACGUUGCUCGGAAUUAUUGGGCGUAAAGCGCACGUAGGCGGCUUGGCAAGUCGGAUGUGAAAUCCCUCGGCUCAACCAAGGAAGUGCAUCCGAAACUGCCGAGCUUGAGUACUUAAGAGGAUCGCGGAAUUCCUGGUGUAGCGGUGAAAUGCGCAGAUAUCAGGAAGAACACCCGUGGCUAAGGCGGCUCACUGGCCCGGUACUGACGCUGAGGUGCGAAAGCGUGGGGAGCAAACAGG